UUAUUUGCUUCCAUCAAGUUAAUUUCCAUGCGUACUCCAAGAGCAAGCUCCACUAACUAAACAUGUGGCAUUGAGAUAAACCACCGUUAUCCUCAAUUCCUCAUCUAGGCUAUAAUGUUUAUAUUUGUUUCUUCUUUCUCUAUACAUGAACCUUACAGAAAAGAUGCUCAUGAAAGGAAGCCCAACUCAUCCUUUUAGAUUAUAUGGGAAACGGAAUUGUAAUACAUCAUUCCCGUGUCAAUCCAUGUCUCAUGUUUUCAGUCCAUGGUGUCCAGCAUGUAAUGCCUAGUCCAUAGCUCCUCUUUCUCUGUUGACAUCAAAGCAGCAUACAGGUUAUGGACAGAAGCAUACAUGCGAGUAUUUCCUCUCAGUCUUAGUUAGUGUACCAGGAUUAACACUAAAAAUUCUUAAUCGUAUAGUGAGACUUUUAAGUGAAACGGCAUGCUCAGGCCGGUCUCGACGAAGUCAAUGUUACCGGUUUUGUUAAAGACAUAAUUUAUCUGCUGAUGUCCUUGUUGAUCUUGAAUUCCUAUUAGGCAUUGGAAAUUGUCAUGUAUCCAUGGGUAUGAAGAGCGCCAUAAAGAUAAUCAUUAUGUGAUGGCGUCCUUGUUGGCUUGAAUUCCGGUUAGGCAUUGAACACAUGUUGGGCACGUGAAUAAAAUCCAUGGAUUGGUUAUAUCAUGUGAGUUCAUGCUCCUUGGGUCGAAUGUCAACCUCAAUCACUUGAGAAUGACAUUUGUUUUGCAGGGACAAUUGAGAAUGACAUUGGUGCCUUGGCCAAUGUACACGGCCACGACAAUGACCUACACCAUAAUCUUGAUCUUGCAGCCACACAUGUGGAAAUAGGCCACACGAGACAAUCAUGGUAGGUCGACUAUUGCCAUGAACCCGUAGAUUCGAUUUUGUGGUGAUAAUGUCCUACCGAGUGCUGCAACCAAGGUAGUUCCGGCCCAGCAAGCAAGCAACAACAUAUUGAUAAAUAGACAGCUUAUAAAUUACUAAUAUAUUGCAUCGUACGAGCUAGUUACAUCAUAGUAUCUUGGAUUAUAAAUUUGAAAUAUAUAUACAUAUAUAGAUGUAUAUAUUAAUUACUAAUUUUCUGAAGUAGCAUCAUGUACAGGUAACAAUGGUCGACAACAUAUAAGAUUGUGUGAUGCAACCCUACCCAACAAAAUUCUCCUUCGGUGCACAAAAUAGAGACUAAAGGUUCUCCUAAAUCUUUUUUAGUUUUCACACAAAAAGACUGGUACUUGGGCAGUACCAUCCAAAAAAUUCACAAACACAAUCUAUUUAUAUCAAACUUGCUAGUGGUGCAGAAAAAAGUGACUUUGCUGAGGGCCCAUGACUCUUUCCAUUUGUAAGAUUGAGAUCGAAGAAUUUAUCAAGACAAAUCAUUUGUAAGAUAAGUACAUUAGUGUGGAGUUCAGGUUUAUGUCAGCUCAGAAACCUAUUCGUCAAAAAUUAUAUUAUCAUUGGCUAAUAAGUUUAACAAUGUCUGAAAGAUUUCUUACAGUUUGUACACUGUUUGUGGAGUAGUAUCAUCUUAACAUGUGAUAAGUGCAUCAUCAUUCAUACUUAUGUCAAUGUGGUUAUACUUCUAAUUCAGUCUGAAAUAUGCAAGAAACAUAUAUACGUGGGGGGUUUGAUUCGUAUUAAAAAUAGUGGAAAGUGAGAUACAUGAAUUAGUACAUAGGACAAACAGAAAAUAUAAUAACAAAGAAAACAUAGAUUACUUGCUAGUUGCUUGUCGUGGUAGCCUCCCAUUG
rnacentral:lncRNA from 1 species